GGAGCGCAAUGAGGCGCACACCUUCCGGUGCGGCGAGGCGUCCGCCGGGCCGGCUUGGCGCUGCUGUGCGCGGCGGCGGAUCGUGGUGUGCCCUCGGGCGCUGCGCCGCGGCGAAUUUGGCGAUGUAGCGUCUGAUUUUGUUAUUUAAAAAGCGUACUUUUCACCGCCUUCAAGAGCGGAAGGGUACGUUUCCCGGACCAGCACUCUGUGUGGAACGCGUUGCUGCGUGUUCUGCUCUGCUGGCUGCGGCUUUACCUGGGAAAUGCGCUCACAAACCGGGCGUGAGUGGCUGUGCCGCGUAGUGAAGGCCCCACAGCACUGCUACUGCAGUCUGAGGAGAGAAACAUCAAUCUGAGGGAACGUCUUUAGAGACAGCAGCCAGAAUGUGGAAAAUCAUGAGGAAGUUUUCAGUGAAUGCAUUGAAAUUGUCAAGUUUGUGCAGUCAGCAUGCGAGUUUCAGGAAGCCAAAAGUCAUAGUCCUAAGUGUGACGCAGCAAAACAGCAGUGAAAGAAACUACAGUUCUCCACCAGGUAUGCUUUUAAAUUAUGCUUUUAUUCUUCUGAAUUUAAUUUAUGAUUUAUUACUAGGAGUUACUUAGAAGUGAGUAAAAAUACCUUCAAAGUUUUACUGAUAAUAUG
rnacentral:lncRNA from 1 species